GACGAACGCUGGCGGCGUGCUUAACACAUGCAAGUCGAACGGAAAGGCCCUGCUUUUGUGGGGUGCUCGAGUGGCGAACGGGUGAGUAACACGUGAGUAACCUGCCCUUGACUUUGGGAUAACUUCUGGAAACUGGGGCUAAUACCGGAUAGGAGCUCCUGCUGCAUGGUGGGGGUUGGAAAGUUUCGGCGGUUGGGGAUGGACUCGCGGCUUAUCAGCUUGUUGGUGGGGUAGUGGCUUACCAAGGCUUUGACGGGUAGCCGGCCUGAGAGGGUGACCGGCCACAUUGGGACUGAGAUACGGCCCAGACUCCUACGGGAGGCAGCAGUGGGGAAUAUUGCACAAUGGGCGGAAGCCUGAUGCAGCAACGCCGCGUGCGGGAUGACGGCCUUCGGGUUGUAAACCGCUUUCGACUGUGACGAAGCGUGAGUGACGGUAAUGGGUAAAGAAGAACCGGCUAACUACGUG
rnacentral:rRNA from 1 species